rnacentral:lncRNA from 1 species
UUUUUUUUUUUUUUUUUUUUUAAUUCCCUUUGGAUUACAUAGCAGCACAUAAACGUGCACAGCUAAUUCUGCCCAAGUGUCUGUUUUGAGCUGAAGGUAAAAGUCACCGAAGAAGGAGCUUUCUAGCACACAAAACGUAAGUUUUCUGUUGAUUAAAAAAUUAUGUAUUAGAAGACUAUUUAGAAGUUUUGGAGUCUGCAUUGAUUGCAACACUGGUCAGGCUGAACUUGACCCGCUUGCCUAGAAGGUGACCAGUUGCUGGACAACUUCUGAUUUGUAAUUUAUUUCAAAAGCAAUCUAGCGUUAGUGUGAACUGACAGCCGUCUGGGUGUAUAGGAACAAAUUGAUUACACGUUUCUUUGACUUUUUAGGAAAAAAUCCCCGUGCAAAAACCAAUGUCUGUGGAUGCUGUUUGGUAGAUUGCUUUUAUCAUUCAGAGUAGGUUUAUUUUUACGUUACCCAUUUGCUCUAAAAUAGUCAGGGCUUUAAGAUUCAGAUCGUUCUGCGGGGUUCUUACACAGGAGUCCUGAGCUGGUUGGCCAGCUCGCCUUUGACUUCACAGGUGUGUGCCUCCAUACCUGAAAUUUACGUGACCUAGAGACUGUUACUAGAAGGGUACUUUUAGUUAGGGUGUGCAUAGAAAGCAGUGUCAGACGCUGCGUCAAAUGACUAGUAACACUUGAUUUCUAGAGUUGUGGUUUUAUUGAGCCAAAUAUAUGAAAAAAAAAUCAUUUAGGAAAAAGUCAGUGAAGGGCUCUUUUUUUUUUUUUUUUUUUUUUUUUUGUUAGUUGGACUUCCAAUAAUUUUGAUUACACCAGUGCACUUUGGUUUGCUUGGUUUCGCUUUAGGGUUCUCUGUGUAUUGUGGGGGGAAAUUAAGGUGGCCAUUGAGGACUUUGGCAGGUUGUAGUGUCUGCUUCAGCAGCUAGCCUGUGAGAAGUUACGUUCCCUUAUGAGAGUAGUGAUUGGAGCAUUUCUAUCUGAUAAGAAAGAUGAAGAACGUAGUGAUUUCUCAGAGGAAAACUGAAGACGAUUAUUUGCAAAAUUGAGUUGUCCUAAAAAUAAUUUGUUAACAUCUGUUAGUCUGGAAAAUGGUGGUGACCAUGAGACUAAAAAAAAUUUUAGUGUCUUUAGAUUUCAUGGGAACUUUAGGCUCUGUUUGUAUGUAUUUUUACAUCUUGAUAAGUUUGCGUCUUUUCAAAUAUUAACCAUAGGGAGUAUUUUUAACUUGUAGAGGGUAACAGUGACUAUGGAAGUUAACUGUAUUAUCUUUUAAGAUCAGUGAUUACUGAAGUGCCCGUAUUGUGAGGUGGUUUUUUUUUUCUUUUUUUUUUUGUUGUAGUUGUUUUGUUUUUUUAAGAUUCUAUUCACAGUUUUUAUUUUACACUGUUUUGUAUCUGCUAAGUUGUAUUUCUUUUCCGAGCAACAUGACUGGGCAUCCUGAUCGCUGUGUAACAGUUUACAAACUUCAUUUUCAUAAAGAUUGUUCAAGAAUAGAGCGCAUCUAAAAGGAGAAUAAUUCACAGUUUAUAUGACUUUGUAUAAGGAAAAAGGAAUUUUAUUGCUGUCCAUUGUAAAAGUUUGCACAGGAGUACAACCAUCAGUACAGAUUUUACAUUGCUUAUGAUACACUAAAUGAAUAAUAGAUGAAUAAGCGUCAUAAAAUAUGGUGAGGUAUAACCACCGUAGUUUUACAUUUAUUUUUAGAGAGCAUAGAAAAAGAUGCAUUGGUGUUCCUUACCUUUUAGAAUUUUACUUUAACACGAGAAAGGCGGCUAUUGAUAUUUUAGUUUUUAUGUGGGACGGUGUAUCUGCUUUUUCCUAAUAACCACUCAAAAAAAAUACUCAAACUUCUUAAUGUUCGAGGUUUCCUUGGUUUUUAGAAGUGAAAUCUCUGAUUCUUAUUUUCACAUGUUCUCAUUUUGAGAGUUGCCCCGUUUGCUGUUGAUUUGUGUGGUGAUAGCUUAGUACUUUUUAAUAUAUCUUAAGCCACUUAAUCACUUCAGUGACUUUUAAUGAAGGAAUAUUUAUUAUGGGAAAAUCAGUGCACAAAGUUUCAACAUUAAUUCACUCUCAGUAAACAUUGUACUGUAAAGUUUUGACCUCAGCCUUUUUAGUAAGACAGAUGUGUAGGAAAUGUUUUUAUACUACAGUAAUGUAUGUGAAAUGGAGUUUGUAAAGAGAGAUUGAGAAGUGUGCAUGCAUAUGAUAGUUUCUCACUUCCUUGGAAUGUUUGGGCUUGGUCAUGGUACAAGGAAGGAUUUAGCUUCCAGAAGCUAUGUUAUUAAUUAUCAUGUAAAACAUUUCUUUGAUAUCAUUUUUUUUUUCCCCUUUAGAGACCACGAGUUCUUAAGUUCUGUUUCUAUCUUGCAGAGACCUCACUCUUACCUUUUUUCUCCCUCUCUGUUUUUGUGAGCUAAACUUUGAUUUUAAGUGAGGUCAGCAUUGGAGAAUUCUUUUGGUGACCUGAAUUCUUUGAGAAAAUGUGUUAGAAUUUGUUCUAAGGAUGGAGAGACUUAAGACAUUUGUAUCAACGUCUGAGAUAGGGGUCAGUAAUGAUUUCAGUAAAUAUUCAGUUUUACAGUGGCUUUCUGUCUGGUAGCUUUGAAAUGAAUGCAUUUGCUCUCAGAGCUGUCAGUAAUGUUGAGGUUAGACUGCAUAACCUUAAGUUCGUAAGGAUUUGCUGAGCAAACUGAUAUCCUUAAUUGUUUUAUAAAGGCCACUUACUGCCACAUGCAUUCUUUGCUGGGUGGUCUGUCAAUAUGAUUGCUUUUCUAAGCACUGGAUACCUGCACCCACUAAUGGACAAUAGUUUCCUUUGUCAGGAAAGGUAAAGUUAGCAUAUUGGAUUUGACUCUUCACCUAGCCUCUAAGUUUUUGAAAUUUUUUUCACUGGUUACAGAAAAGGUAUUAGCAGUCUGGUUCUUUACAAGUAAUUUGCGCUGGAAUAAAGGCUGUUGGGAAACAUAAUAAUAUAAGAAGAACAAACAUCACUUAGGCGUGAAUUAGUUUUAGAGGGGAUAUUUCAGUUCAGUAUAGUUAGGGCAUAUUCUCUUUAUUUGCAGCACUUUGCAUUUAACAGGCAGGUGGACGUCUUCAGGGUGUCAGGGUAUACACUCGGUUGUCCUGAGAAUACCGACUAGUGGAUAUGUGUGGCUACACCCGACAGCACACGGUGUGCACGUGGUGUGGAAAGGAAGACUGUUGAUGUAUCAUAUUUUAGGUGGUUAUGCACUUUGAUUGUCAUCAAUAGUCAUCACUUCAGAUAUGGACAGUGGAUCUGCCAUAAGUGUUUGAAUAUUCUGUGUAGAUGUGUAAGUAGGUACAAAGUUAGCAAACUCAUAAUAUUUCUAAAAAAUGAGGCUACCUUGGUCGAUACUGUUUUAUCAUUUUCACAUAAGGUUACAUUUAUUUUAAAUUACAUUAAAAUAUUGACCAUUAAUUUUAUCUUCACAUUGUGUGUACAUUGUUUCAUUUUAGAUGUUAGGGUGGUAGAGUAGGUAGGUCCUGGAGCCAGCCAGACUGGCCUGUGUUGGAACCCUGGCUCUCCCGCUUAGCAGCUGGGUGACUUUGGGUAGGUUGCUUAGCCUUUCUCAAACUGUUUCAUCUGUAAAAUUUGUCUUAAAGAAUAAAGGAGAUAAUAUGAGUAACUCACUUAGCAUACUACCUGCCACAUUGUAAAUACUUACAUGGUAACAGCUGCUCUUAAGAAUUAUAAUUUCAGGGAUCCCUGGGUGGCACAGCGGUUUGGCGCCUGCCUUUGGCCCAGGGCGCGAUCCUGGAGACCCGGGAUCGAAUUCCACGUCGGGUUCCCGGUGCAUGGAGCCUGCUUCUCCCUCCUCCUGUGUCUCUGCCUCUCUCUCUCUCUCUCUCUCUGUGUGACUCUCAUUAAAAAAAAAAAAAAAAAAAAAAAAAAAAA